GUGAAUUCACAGAGGACUACUCAAAGAACCAGGGUUACAGGUAUAGUGCCAUAUGAUCCCAGAGGCUUCCUGCAUCAGCAGUGGAUUGGACUUGAUGACCCUUCAGGUCCCUUCCAGCCCUAUGAUUUUGCAAGCUGUCUCCAUUCCAUGUUCCUUCUGGCAAAAGCAGAACUGAAAGACAAGCCAUCAUUUCUUUUCUACAGAUACGAAGCCUUGCCCUACCAUUUUUGAGGCAAGUGCCUCAUUUGGCAGGUAUGCAAAAGCAGGGAAGGGUAGUGGGGGCAAGGUGUUGGAGGAAAACUUGCCCUGAACCCCUUAACUAAUCUGCUGUGCUCACGUGUAAUGGAUGAUGCUGUUCUUUCACCUGUGUAAGAAGUAAGAUUCAGCUACCAUUCCCUUCAAUGUCUGCACCCGGAAUGAUGCGACACACCAUUUUGAACUUUACCUCAGGCAGAUGAAUGACUUGGGCCAGCUUUGAUUGAUAGCCAACUGAGAUUAAAUACUUUCCUGUACUAUCUCCUAUGUUACUGGCACAAAAUGGCUAAGAUUUUACUUCAUUAGUUGUUGUUGGCUGCAUGGACCUGCAGACUAGCAAGCUCUACAUACACCCAUCUUCUGCUACUUGCUCACCGGUGCCAGAAUCCACAGGCAGCCCCCACCCUCUGUUAGAAGAGCCAAGGAUUGCACCUAAGAAUGAACAGUCCAUUACAGCACACCUACCUAGCAGUAGCAGCUUCACUGUCUUUGCCUCUUUGUCCGCAUCUUCUUGUAGCUUCUUUUCCAGCUCCUUGGACCUUUUGGCAAG